rnacentral:rRNA from 1 species
GCGUUGUUCGGAAUUAUUGGGCGUAAAGGGUGCGUAGGCGGUUUGACAAGUCUUAUGUGAAAUCUUCGGGCUCAACCCGAAGCCUGCAUGGGAAACUGUCGGGCUUGAGUAUGGGAGAGGUGAGUGGAGUUUCCGGUGUAGCGGUGAAAUGCGUAGAUAUCGGAAGGAACACCUGUGGCGAAAGCGGCUCACUGGACCAUAACUGACACUGAGGCGCGACAGCGUG